UUUUUGAAUCAAUCGCUGUAUUUGCAAAAUAAUACAGAGGAAACUCCACGCUUGCACAUUCUGUGAUGAAUGUAGUGAUUGUGCUAGAGGAAUAAAAUAACUCUAGGCACCAUUUUAUGGUGAUGACUUGUAUGAAGCCUAAGUGAUUUUUCAUAUGGCGACAUCUUUAAAGUGCCACAGAGACGAUUAGCUAGAAAUAGUGAAAUGGAACGGGUAAACUCCACAAGCAAGAAACUCAAAUUAUGGUAGAGGAACUAAGAGGCUGGGAAACGAACUAGUCUUUUGGAUCACCUUUUUGGUGAUAGAUAGAUGGUUGAUACGCUUAUGCGAACAGAACGUGGGUUAUGAUA
rnacentral:RNase_P_RNA from 1 species